ACGGGAGGCAGCAGUGAGGAAUAUUGGUCAAUGGGCGCGGGCCUGAACCAGCCAAGUAGCGUGCAGGAUGACUGCCCUAUGGGUUGUAAACUGCUUUUGCCUGGGGAUAAAGUGCGGCACGCGUGCCGCUUUGCAGGUACCAGGUGAAUAAGGACCGGCUAAUUCCGUGCCAGCAGCCGCGGUAAUACGGAAGGUCCGAGCGUUAUCCGGAUUUAUUGGGUUUAAAGGGAGCGUAGGUGGAAUGGUAAGUCAGCCGUCAAAUCGCGCAGCUUAACUGCGCCCAGCGGUUGAAACUGCCGUUCUUGAGUGCACAAGAGGAAGGUGGAAUUCGUGGUGUAGCGGUGAAAUGCUUAGAUAUCACGAAGAACUCCGAUUGCGAAGGCAGCCUUCUGGGAUGCAACUGACACUGAGGCUCGAAGGUGCGGGUAUCAAACAGGAUUAGAUACCCUGGUA
rnacentral:rRNA from 1 species